GACGAACGCUGGCGGCGUGCCUAAUACAUGCAAGUCGAGCGAGUCUGCCUUGAAGAUUGGCGUUCUUGCACUCUGUGAAACAAGAUACUGGCUAGCGGCGGACGGGUGAGUAACACGUGGGUAACCUGCCAAAGAGACUGGCGUAACUCCGGGAAACAACCGCUAAUACCGGACAACAACAGAUGAUGCCUAUCAACUGUUUAUAAGAUGGUUCUGCUAUCACUCUUGGAUGGACCGGCGGUGCAUUAGCUAGUUGGUCGGGUAAUGGCCUACCAAGGCGAUGAUGCAUAGCCGAGUUGAGAGACUGAUCGGCCACAUUGGGACUGAGACACGGCCCAAACUCCUACGGGAGGCAGCAGUAGGGAAUCUUCCACAAUGGACGCAAGCCUGAUGGAGCAACGCCGCGUGAGUGAAGAAGGGUUUCGGCUCGUAAAGCUCUGUUGUUGGUGAAGAAGGACAGGGGUAGUAACUGACGUUUGUUUGACGGUACUCAAUUAGAAAGCCCCGGCUAACUACGUG
rnacentral:rRNA from 1 species